rnacentral:rRNA from 1 species
UACCGGCAGCCCUAGUGAUGGCCGAUUUUAUUGGGCCUAAAGCGUCCGUAGCUGGCCGCGCAAGUCCAUCGGGAAAUCCACCUGCUCAACAGGUGGGCGCCCGGUGGAAACUGCGUGGCUUGGGACCGGAAGGCGCGACGGGUACGUCCGGGGUAGGAGUGAAAUCCCGUAAUCCUGGACGGACCGCCGAUGGCGAAAGCACGUCGCGAGAACGGAUCCGACAGUGAGGGACGAAAGCCAGGGUCUCGAACCGGAUUAGAUACCCGGGUAGUCCUGGCCGUAAACAAUGCCUGCUAGGUGUGGCUCCCACUACGAGUGGGUGCUGUGCCGUAGGGAAGCCGCUAAGCAGGCCGCCUGGGAAGUACGUCCUCAAGGAUGAAACUUAAAGGAAUUGGCGGGGGAGCACUACAACCGGAGGAGCCUGCGGUUUAAUUGGACUCAACGCCGGACAUCUCACCAGCAUCGACUGUAGUAAUGACGAUCAGGUUGAUGACCUUAUCCGAGCUUCAGAGAGGAGGUGCAUGGCCGCCGUCAGCUCGUACCGUGAGGCGUCCUGUUAAGUCAGGCAACGAGCGAGACCCGCAUCCUUACUCGCCAGCAGCACUGCGAAGUGGCUGGGGACAGUAGGGAGACUGCCGUGGCCAACACGGAGGAAGGAACGGGCAACGGUAGG